AUUGAUUAUUUAACAUUGUAUUUUAUAGAAACCUAGGGUUUAGGUUGUAUUUAUCAUUAUUUAACAUUUUAUAAAAAUCUAUGGUUUAUAGAAAUAUAGGGUUUAUAGAAAUGUUAACAUUUUAUUUAACAUUGUAUUUAACUUUAUUUAACAUUUUAUAAAAUUCUAGGAUUUAUAGAAAUCUAGGGUUUAGGGUAUGGGUUGAAUUUUUAGGAUAUGACUUGAACUUUUAGUUUAUGUUUUAACUCGUAGGAUAUGAAUAUAACUUUUAGUUUUUAGGUUUUGUUCUUGUGAAUUGAACUUGUAGGAUAUAAAUUGAAAUUUUAGGAUAUGAGUUGAAUUUUUAGGAUAUGAUUUGAAACUUUUAGGAUAUGAGUUGAACUUUUAGGAAAUAAAUUGAACCUUUAGCAUAUGUAUUGAACCUUUAGGAUAUGACUUGACUUUUAGUUUAUGUUUAAACUCGUAGGAUAUGAAUGUAACGUUUAGUUUUUAGGUUUUGUUCUUGUGAAUUGAACUUGUAGGAUAUAAAUUGAAAUUUUAGGAUAUGAGUUGAAUUUUUAGGAUAUGAAUUGAAACUUUUAGGAUAUGAGUUGAACUUUUAGGAAAUAAAUUGAACCUUUAGCAUAUGUAUUGAACCUUUAGGAUAUGACUUGAACUUUUAGUUUAUGUUUAAACUCGUAGGAUAUGUAUAAAACUUUAGUUUUUAGGUUUUGUUCUUGUGAAUUGAAUUUUUAGGAUAUGAAUUGAAACUUUUAGGAUAUGAGUUGAAUUUUUAGGAUAUAAAUAGAAAUUUUAGAAUAUGAGUUGAACUUUUAGGAAAUAAAUUGAACCUUUAGCAUAUGUAUUGAACUUUUAGGAUAUGACUUGAACUUUUAGUUUAUGUUUAAACUCGUAGGAUAUGAAUAUAACUUUUAGUUUUUAGGUUUUGUUCUUGUGAAUUGAAACUUUU
rnacentral:lncRNA from 1 species